GAUUAAGUUAUUAAGGGCGCACGGUGGAUGCCUUGGCACUAGAAGCCGAUGAAGGACGUUACUAACGACGAUAUGCUUUGGGGAGCUGUAAGUAAGCUUUGAUCCAGAGAUUUCCGAAUGGGGAAACCCAGCAUGAGUUAUGUCAUGUUAUCGAUAUGUGAAUACAUAGCAUAUCAGAAGGCACACCCGGAGAACUGAAACAUCUUAGUACCCGGAGGAAGAGAAAGAAAAUUCGAUUCCCUUAGUAGCGGCGAGCGAAACGGGAAGAGCCCAAACCAACAAGCUUGCUUGUUGGGGUUGUAGGACACUCUAUACGGAGUUACAAAGGACGACAUUAGACGAAUCAUCUGGAAAGAUGAAUCAAAGAAGGUAAUAAUCCUGUAGUCGAAAAUGUUGUCUCUCUUGAGUGGAUCCUGAGUACGACGGAGCACGUGAAAUUCCGUCGGAAUCUGGGAGGACCAUCUCCUAAGGCUAAAUACUCUCUAGUGACCGAUAGUGAACCAGUACCGUGAGGGAAAGGUGAAAAGCACCCCGGAAGGGGAGUGAAAUAGAACCUGAAACCGUGUGCUUACAAGUAGUCAGAGCCCGUUAAUGGGUGAUGGCGUGCCUUUUGUAGAAUGAACCGGCGAGUUACGAUUUGAUGCAAGGUUAAGCAGUAAAUGUGGAGCCGUAGCGAAAGCGAGUCUGAAUAGGGCGUUUAGUAUUUGGUCGUAGACCCGAAACCAGGUGAUCUACCCUUGGUCAGGUUGAAGUUCAGGUAACACUGAAUGGAGGACCGAACCGACUUACGUUGAAAAGUGAGCGGAUGAACUGAGGGUAGCGGAGAAAUUCCAAUCGAACCUGGAGAUAGCUGGUUCUCUCCGAAAUAGCUUUAGGGCUAGCCUCAAGUGAUGAUUAUUGGAGGUAGAGCACUGUUUGGACGAGGGGCCCCUCUCGGGUUACCGAAUUCAGACAAACUCCGAAUGCCAAUUAAUUUAACUUGGGAGUCAGAACAUGGGUGAUAAGGUCCAUGUUCGAAAGGGAAACAGCCCAGACCACCAGCUAAGGUCCCAAAAUAUAUGUUAAGUGGAAAAGGAUGUGGCGUUGCCCAGACAACUAGGAUGUUGGCUUAGAAGCAGCCAUCAUUUAAAGAGUGCGUAAUAGCUCACUAGUCGAGUGACACUGCGCCGAAAAUGUACCGGGGCUAAACAUAUUACCGAAGCUGUGGAUUGUCCUUUGGACAAUGGUAGGAGAGCGUUCUAAGGGCGUUGAAGCAUGAUCGUAAGGACAUGUGGAGCGCUUAGAAGUGAGAAUGCCGGUGUGAGUAGCGAAAGACGGGUGAGAAUCCCGUCCACCGAUUGACUAAGGUUUCCAGAGGAAGGCUCGUCCGCUCUGGGUUAGUCGGGUCCUAAGCUGAGGCCGACAGGCGUAGGCGAUGGAUAACAGGUUGAUAUUCCUGUACCACCUAUAAUCGUUUUAAUCGAUGGGGGGACGCAGUAGGAUAGGCGAAGCGUGCGAUUGGAUUGCACGUCUAAGCAGUAAGGCUGAGUAUUAGGCAAAUCCGGUACUCGUUAAGGCUGAGCUGUGAUGGGGAGAAGACAUUGUGUCUUCGAGUCGUUGAUUUCACACUGCCGAGAAAAGCCUCUAGAUAGAAAAUAGGUGCCCGUACCGCAAACCGACACAGGUAGUCAAGAUGAGAAUUCUAAGGUGAGCGAGCGAACUCUCGUUAAGGAACUCGGCAAAAUGACCCCGUAACUUCGGGAGAAGGGGUGCUCUUUAGGGUUAACGCCCAGAAGAGCCGCAGUGAAUAGGCCCAAGCGACUGUUUAUCAAAAACACAGGUCUCUGCUAAACCGUAAGGUGAUGUAUAGGGGCUGACGCCUGCCCGGUGCUGGAAGGUUAAGAGGAGUGGUUAGCUUCUGCGAAGCUACGAAUCGAAGCCCCAGUAAACGGCGGCCGUAACUAUAACGGUCCUAAGGUAGCGAAAUUCCUUGUCGGGUAAGUUCCGACCCGCACGAAAGGCGUAACGAUUUGGGCACUGUCUCAACGAGAGACUCGGUGAAAUCAUAGUACCUGUGAAGAUGCAGGUUACCCGCGACAGGACGGAAAGACCCCGUGGAGCUUUACUGUAGCCUGAUAUUGAAAUUCGGCACAGCUUGUACAGGAUAGGUAGGAGCCUUUGAAACGUGAGCGCUAGCUUACGUGGAGGCGCUGGUGGGAUACUACCCUAGCUGUGUUGGCUUUCUAACCCGCACCACUUAUCGUGGUGGGAGACAGUGUCAGGCGGGCAGUUUGACUGGGGCGGUCGCCUCCUAAAAGGUAACGGAGGCGCUCAAAGGUUUCCUCAGAAUGGUUGGAAAUCAUUCAUAGAGUGUAAAGGCAUAAGGGAGCUUGACUGCGAGACCUACAAGUCGAGCAGGGUCGAAAGACGGACUUAGUGAUCCGGUGGUUCCGCAUGGAAGGGCCAUCGCUCAACGGAUAAAAGCUACCCCGGGGAUAACAGGCUUAUCUCCCCCAAGAGUUCACAUCGACGGGGAGGUUUGGCACCUCGAUGUCGGCUCAUCGCAUCCUGGGGCUGUAGUCGGUCCCAAGGGUUGGGCUGUUCGCCCAUUAAAGCGGUACGCGAGCUGGGUUCAGAACGUCGUGAGACAGUUCGGUCCCUAUCCGUCGUGGGCGUAGGAAAUUUGAGAGGAGCUGUCCUUAGUACGAGAGGACCGGGAUGGACAUACCUCUGGUGUACCAGUUGUCGUGCCAACGGCAUAGCUGGGUAGCUAUGUGUGGACGGGAUAAGUGCUGAAAGCAUCUAAGCAUGAAGCCCCCCUCAAGAUGAGAUUUCCCAACUUCGGUUAUAAGAUCCCUCAAAGAUGAUGAGGUUAAUAGGUUCGAGGUGGAAGCAUGGUGACAUGUGGAGCUGACGAAUACUAAUCGAUCGAAGACUUAAUCAA
rnacentral:rRNA from 1 species